UAAGUGACUAAGCGUACACGGUGGAUGCCUGGGCAGUCAGAGGCGAUGAAGGACGUACUAACUUGCGAUAAGCGCAGAUAAGGCAGUAAGAGCCGUUUGAGUCUGCGAUUUCCGAAUGGGGAAACCCAACUGCAUAAGCAGUUACUGUUAACUGAAUACAUAGGUUAACAGAGCAAACCGGGGGAACUGAAACAUCUAAGUACCCCGAGGAGAAGAAAUCAACCGAGAUUCCGGUAGUAGCGGCGAGCGAACCUGGAUUAGCCCUUAAGCACUCGGUGAAGUAGGUGAACAAGCUGGAAAGCUUGGCGAUACAGGGUGAUAGCCCCGUAACCGACGCUUCAUCGAGCGUGAAAUCGAGUAGGGCGGGACACGUGAUAUCCUGUCUGAAUAUGGGGGGACCAUCCUCCAAGGCUAAAUACUCCUGACUGACCGAUAGUGAACCAGUACCGUGAGGGAAAGGCGAAAAGAACCCCUGUGAGGGGAGUGAAAUAGAACCUGAAACCGUGUACGUACAAGCAGUAGGAGCACCUUCGUGGUGUGACUGCGUACCUUUUGUAUAAUGGGUCAGCGACUUAUAUUCAGUGGCAAGGUUAACCGUAUAGGGGAGCCGUAGCGAAAGCGAGUCUUAACUGGGCGCUCAGUCUCUGGAUAUAGACCCGAAACCGGGUGAUCUAGCCAUGGGCAGGUUGAAGGUUGAGUAACAUCAACUGGAGGACCGAACCGACUAAUGUUGAAAAAUUAGCGGAUGACUUGUGGCUAGGGGUGAAAGGCCAAUCAAACUCGGAGAUAGCUGGUUCUCCCCGAAAGCUAUUUAGGUAGCGCCUCGGACGAAUACUACUGGGGGUAGAGCACUGUUAAGGCUAGGGGGUCAUCCCGACUUACCAACCCUUUGCAAACUCCGAAUACCAGUAAGUACUAUCCGGGAGACACACGGCGGGUGCUAACGUCCGUCGUGGAGAGGGAAACAACCCAGACCGCCAGCUAAGGUCCCAAAGUAUUGCUAAGUGGGAAACGAUGUGGGAAGGCUCAGACAGCUAGGAUGUUGGCUUAGAAGCAGCCAUCAUUUAAAGAAAGCGUAAUAGCUCACUA
rnacentral:rRNA from 1 species